GCGGUUUAUACGAUCCGACUCAAAAUAAUAUAUUAUUUCAACGGCCAACUAGUCGGUAGUGACUCUGCCUACGAAACGGAAGGUUCCUGGUUCGAAUCCUGAUAAGGACAUUUAUUUGCGUGUUCAUCACAAAUAUUUGUUCCCGAGUCAUGGAUAUUUUCUAUGUAUAUAAAUAUUUAUAUACAGCGAUUUAAAUAAUUAUUGUAACUUUUCUAAGAACAAAAUAUUUUUAGUUUAUAUGUAGGAUAACUACAGUGACAUCUUUUGAUACUUAUCCUUAAACAAUCCAGCUAUCUCGUACACUGGUAAGAAGUUAAACUGCCAAAUGGCGCGAUAGAUGGCGCUUAAAAUAAAAAUCGCGAUAUUACAUCGAUUUUUUUCCGCAUCGAUUAAUUAUGUUUAAAUGGCCUUUUUAAAAGGUUUUUUUGUUGUAAUAUGCCAAUCAAUUGGAAUUAUACACGUUUGGUUGAUAAUUGGAGAGAUUUCAAUUAAAAUAAAUACCGAUGUAGGCCAAAUGGUGCUCUGAGUGACAUCUAUUGAUUUUCUCUGGAACUAAUCGAGACUACUAUGGGUUUGUUACUCUAUAUAUAUUUACUUUAUGGUUAUACAUAGAUUUUAUUUGACUAAUAUUAACAUAAUUUCAUGUGGAGUUUAGAUAAUGGGAACAAAAUUUUUAACGUUUUUAAAAGACAAUACAUACUCGUAUUAGCGAAAUUUUUCAAGGCCUCUACAAACCACACCGACAAAUUGCGUGCGAUUUGUGCGGCAUUUGACCGAUCGGUUGAAUUUGUUGCACUUAAUUGUCGGUGAUUAUCUAAAACGCAAGUAGUUCUUUAUACUCUUGCAAAAAAACUUUGUGCCUAAUGGAAAAAGGCGUGAAAUUAAAAAUAUGUAUGGGCUAUAGAUCCUUCGAGUCUACUUUUUGCCGCCUUUUUCUACUGACAAAGUUGGAUUUUGAGAAUAUACAAGGCCUUCAUUGGCCUAAGAGGACUUCAUGUUUACAGUUUUUAAAAAUAUGGUUUCUACAGAUACCAUGUCUUGCAACAUGCGAUUUUAUAUAAAUACUAUAAUAAUGGCCUGAAUACAUUGUUUAAAGGUCCCUUCUUUUAGUUUUUCUUAAAUAACUCGUAAACAGUGGCCCAUACCAUAAAAUGUUCUUUCACGUAAACAAUCUAUAUAAAAUUACCUACAAGAAAGAUUUAGUACUUUUUUUCGCUAGCAUCAACAUUUAAAAAUUGUAUUGAAUUUUUUUGUAGACAAUUUUGCGUACAUUAUUUACGUUUAACAACGUUUUUGCGAUGUGCAAAUCAACUGCCGCAAUGCAAGCAUGUUACGCAAAUCGCAUUUAAUUAUUAAUGAAGUUUGCAGAGGCCCGGCCCAUAGUCUCCACAAAAUAAUGUAGUAGACUGCUCGCAGUGGUAGCGUUGUUGCCAGCUCAACAGAAUGCGUUCGAAGCUGAGCAAGCUGACAACGUCGCGAGGCAAGUUUCGUAAUGUCUCAUAUCUUUAUCUAUAUAAUUAAGUAUCAGAAGACACCAUAAUUAUGUUAUUAAGUGCAUGCCGGGGUCUAUAACUACAUAAGAGUACCUAAAGCGCUUCACACGCCUUACUUAAUCUAGUAUAAGUUUGUUGGACGUUGGAACGACUUUUUGGAACGAAGUUCCUUGUUGGACGGUUGGCGGAUGGCGGCUAGGCGAAAAAAGUGUAAUAGUAGGAGAUACGUUAUAAGGAAUUACAGGGACACUUAUUAUAUAUAGGUGAUAGAAGUUUCAAGAGGUACGGUUAGAUAAACCGGUAAAGUCCAGUAGGUAAACAAAUCAAGCCGAAAUAAUUGCUGAUCGGUAAAAGUCUAGUUAAACAAUAGCACAACAAAUAGUAGCGGGAUAAGUAUUGAGUCAAAAUAAACGUGAGGCGAGUCAAGAAGGUAGAAUCAUGACAAUGAGCAUGAGCUAUAAGCUAUAGUACCUGGGCGACCGAGCUUUGCUCGGUUAUAACUAUUUAUUGUAAUAUGGUGGUGUAUAGGUAUGGUGGUGAUAAUCUUAACUACAUUUUUUUACUAAAUUAAACUUGUCUAAAACAAUAAAAAUUAAAAAAAAAUAUAUAUAUAUAUAUAUAUAUAUAAACUUCAACAUAUAUAAAAAAAAUAAAAGUUAGUCAUCGUGCGAGAUUCGAACCCGUAACUCUCGUUUCUAGCAGUUCGCGUCUAAACCCGGUGGGCCAGACGGACAGUGGCCGGCGACACGAAAUUAGCGACCAUAUUCUGCGUCGAAAGAAAAACGCAUGAAAACUCGAAAACACGCGUUUUCCCAAACAUAAGACAACUCUAGAUCGAUUGUAUACCCCCCAAAAACCCCCAUAUACCAAAUUACAGCGAAAUCGUUAGAGCCGUUUUCGAGAUCACAGAAAUAUAUAUACAAGAAUUGCUCGUUUAAAGGUAUAAGAUAAAAGAAAACAGUUGUGUGAGGUACAACUUUUUGUUGUGAUUUUUGCCCGAGGAAGCAUUUCGACAAACUUGAAUACAUAAUUAUGUACCUACGACGAUCCGAACUUUAGGAUGCGACGUUGUCAGGUCAUUAGCUUCACGGUCACAGUCGUUGCGAUUUGGCAGGCUGGCAACGUCGCCUGCUUUCAUUGAAGUACAAAAUUAUUGUUACCUAUCUAUGAUUGUUACCAAAUUGUACUUUCAUAACGUUCCUUUCUACAGCACAACAUUUUUUAAAACAGUCCCCUACUUCAGGGUAAAGUUGUCAAGUUGUUUCUUAAAAAAACUUCGAGAUUGGAAUGGAAAAGCUAUUUAUUUUAAAAUUAAAGCAUAUGAUAUUUUAUUGUUUUUUUAAACAAUAUAUAUAUUAUGCUUUAUUUUAUUCUAACUGAACACACAUGCACUAGACAAGCAAAAUCGUGAAGUUAUUUUUAGGGAGACAAAGAAAUUUAAAUGGCAACACUCAAAAUAAGUUGUCACUGUUCCAAUCCAAUUUGUAAUGAAAUGGUUUUGUAAUAAAUCUUUUUUUUGAUUUGAUUCUAAAUGUAGAAAUUUGAUUAGAUACAUACCUAUGAACGUCACUUGCGACUUUGUCUUGCAGGCACAAAAUAGUGAAUUCAACUAAAGCAAGGCUAAAGCUAUUGAAAUGAAGUUCCGGUUUGGGAAUCAGUGAUGAAAAUUGCAUGCGAAUGGAUUAUCACUUCAGGAACCAGUCUCUAGCUACUAGAAGUAACAAUAUAGUAUGGGGCAAGACAAUGAGAUGAGAUAUGGUCAAUGCAUCUCAUUACCCAAUUAAAAUAUUUUGAGGUAAAAAUAGUAACAAUUUUUAUACCUGCCUCAAUGGAUACAGACACAAGCUACGAAAAUCUUUUUAAUAUAAAUAAAUCCUCAUAAAAAAGAAA